rnacentral:rRNA from 1 species
CCCUUAGAUGUUCUGGGCUGCACGCGGGCUACACUGAAGCUAUCAACACGUUUUCCCUCCCUGAGAAGGGCGGGUAACCUUUUGAAUCAGCUUCGUGGUAGGGAUCGGGGCUUGCAAUUGUUCCCCGUGAACCAGGAAUUCCUAGUAGACGCGAGUCAUAAGCUCGCAUCGAUUAAGUCCCUGCCCUUUGUACACACCGCCCGUCGCUACUACCGAUUGAACGUUUUAGUGAGGCAUUUGGACCGACGCAUCUCAGUUUAACCGCUGGUUUGUGUUGGAAAGACUUCCAAACUUGAGCGUUUAGAGGAAGUAAAAGUCGUAACA